UACGUAGGGUGCGAGCGUUAAUCGGAAUUACUGGGCGUAAAGCGUGCGCAGGCGGUUGUGCAAGACAGGUGUGAAAUCCCCGGGCUUAACCUGGGAACUGCACUUGUGACUGCACGACUGGAGUACGGCAGAGGGGGAUGGAAUUCCGCGUGUAGCAGUGAAAUGCGUAGAUAUGCGGAGGAACACCGAUGGCGAAGGCAGUCCCCUGGGCCUGUACUGACGCUCAUGCACGAAAGCGUGGGGAGCAAACAG
rnacentral:rRNA from 1 species